rnacentral:lncRNA from 1 species
GGUAGUGGGACCCGACCCUGUCUCCAGUGGGCGUCUUGGGCCCCGGCUCUAUUCUGGGCUGCGGGCCUGGGAAGGGCUCGCCGGGUGCCAAAUGAGCUGUCCUAACUCUGCGGGGCUGCAGCUUCCUGCAUGAUGCUGGGGAGCUUGGCGCCUGACCCAGGAUCUAGAAGGCACUCUGGGCAGGCCGCGCUCCGCCCACGAAGGUCUGGCUUACCACACGCUCCUCCCCAUUCCCAGUGAGCCGCUUUUUGCAGCACCAGGCGAACACUUACACCAGUGCUUUGUAAAGGAAUCUUAUUGUCCACCCCGUGUCUUGGCAAAAGAACAGUGAUCACACAGAUUCCUACUUGGGCUCUUUCCUUUAAUCUUCGGAGGCUGAGUUUGCCCAACUCAGGUUUAACCACCAAGGACUCUGAGAGCUGGCAGGUCUGAGUAACCCUGGUAACAAUUCUCUUCACCUUAUCAAAACCUGAGCUAAAACCAAUGCAUCAGCUGAUGAUGACAGCAGAGAGUGGCAGGGCUGAGGACCCAAAGUCAUUUCCCAGGCUGGCGGAGACUCAAGCUAAGCUAUUGCUCACCGUCACAGGCUAGCCGCUGACUUCCACCCCUCUGGAUCCAGCAGGGUGUCUGCUGCACUUCUGAUCCAGUGAGACGCCCAUUGCCACUCCCAACUGGGCUAGAGGCUCGCCAUUGUUCCUGCACGGCUAAGUGCCCAGAUAAACUGCCAGGGAGAAGAAUGAGAAGACAGGAGACAAACUGUUUGGAAAGCUAAAUCUUCCCUCUUAAUGAAUAAAGGUUUUUGCCUUGUCUUAAA